CGCGGUCACUCUUGUGCAUACCCGCAAAAUCGUGUUGGCCAUCCUGGCGAUCGCGGCGAUACAGCGA
rnacentral:sRNA from 1 species